rnacentral:rRNA from 1 species
GUGGGGAAUAUUGGACAAUGGGCGAAAGCCUGAUCCAGCCAUGCCGCGUGUGUGAAGAAGGUCUUCAGAUUGUAAAGCACUUUAAGUUGGGAGGAAGGGCAGUAAGUUAAUACCUUGCUGUUUUGACGUUACCGACAGAAUAAGCACCGGCUAACUUCGUGCCAGCAGCCGCGGUAAUACGAAGGGUGCAAGCGUUAAUCGGAAUUACUGGGCGUAAAGCGCGCGUAGGUGGUUUUGUAAGUUGGAGGUGAAAUCCCCGGGCUCAACCUGGGAACUGCCUCCAAAACUGCAUGACUAGAGUACGGUAGAGGGUAGUGGAAUUUCCUGUGUAGCGGUGAAAUGCGUAGAUAUAGGAAGGAACACCAGUGGCGAAGGCGACUACCUGGACUGAUACUGACACUGAGGUGCGAAAGCGUGGGGAGCAAACAGGAUUAGAUACCCCGGUAGUCC